GUGCCUGGUUCGCGGCUCGCCGGUCUGCUCGAUAGCGUGCCUUUGCGUACUUGAGCUCUGUCCUGUUUCCUCGGAGGGCUUGCCCGCCACACGAGGACCCCCACAAACCUCUUGCAAACGCAGCAAACAGUCUGAGAAACACAAUCAAAACCUAAUCAAAACUUUCAACAAUGGAUCUCUUGGUUCUGGCAUCGAUGAAGAACGCAGCAAAAUGCGAUAAGUAGUGUGAAUUGCAGAAUUCAGUGAAUCAUCGAAUCUUUGAACGCACAUUGCGCCCUUUGGUAUUCCUUAGGGCAUGCCUGUUCGAGCGUCAUUUACACCCUCAAGCGCAGCUUGGUGUUGGGCGCCUGUCCCCGUCCACCCCCCCGCGGGUGCGCGGACUCGCCUUGAAACUAUUGGCAGCGGACCCGUCGGCCCCCCAGCGCACCAGAAUUGCGUCCCUGGGCGGCCCGGCGGGUGGCUCUCCACGAAGCUUUCUCACCCAAGUUUGACCUCGGAUCAGGUAGGGAUACCCGCUGAACUUAAGCAUAUCAAUAAGCGGAGGAA
rnacentral:rRNA from 1 species